UUGCGAGCGCCGCGCCAUGGAGCUGCUCAAGGUGUCCAAGGACAAGCGCGCGCUCAAGUUCAUCAAGAAGAGGGUGGGCACGCACAUCCGCGCCAAGAGGAAGCGGGAGGAGCUGAGCAACGUGCUGGCCGCCAUGCGGAAGGCUGCGGCCAAGAAGGACUGACCCCGCCCCCAAUAAACCUUGCUCCCCGCA